AUGGGGAGGCAGAGAGUGUUUCAUGAGAACUCACUUUGGGGGGAAGCACCUAAAUCCUGCCCAGGUCCUGCCUGUAGCACCUCUGUUUGUCAGGUCCUGGCCCUAGGCAUGACUUUCCCACUCAUCACCUGCAAAGUCAGCAUCCUCCAAGCUGCAGCUCAGUGCUUUCAUUUUUUUUUUUUAAAUCAGCGCAGCUCAGUGCUUUCAUUAUUUUUUUUUUUAAAUCAGCAUUGUUCCUCUGCAUUUAAGAAUCUCACAAAUAAACCUCAAACAACAGCACUGCUGUGCUCAAAGUGUGGUUCAUGGAGGCCCCAGUUCCCCCACUUGUCUUUGACAGCAACUGCUCACCAUAUAAUAAUAGCCUAAGCUUAAUAAUCUAAAAAUUGUAAUGGCUUUGGAUUGUUUUGGUGCCAUUUUGUUUAGAUGAACAUAUAUUUGUAAUAAAAGACUGCAUUUGUGUUCUGCAUUAUGUCAUUUGAAACAGCAUGAGCUCUGUAAUGGCUACUUAAUUGAAUAAAAACUAUGGGUAAGCACUAGGCUUUUAUAUUUGAUCUGACAUUCCUUGGACUUAAAUU
rnacentral:lncRNA from 12 species